ACCUGGGAUAGCUCAGUGGUUAGCGCAUGAGACUUAGGGUCGUGGGUUCGACCCCCACGUUGGGCA